UACGAAGGGGGCUAGCGUUGCUCGGAAUCACUGGGCGUAAAGCGCACGUAGGCGGCUUUCUAAGUCAGGGGGUGAAAUCCUGGAGCUCAACUCCAGAACUGCCUUCGAUACUGGAGCUUGAGUCCGGGAGAGGUGAGUGGAACUGCGAGUGUAGAGGUGAAAUUCGUAGAUAUUCGCAAGAACACCAGUGGCGAAGGCGGCUCACUGGCCCGGUACUGACGCUGAGGUGCGAAAGCGUGGGGAGCAAACAGG
rnacentral:rRNA from 1 species